rnacentral:rRNA from 1 species
GACGUAGGGGGCCAGCGUUGUUCGGAAUUACUGGGUGUAAAGGGUUCGUAGGCGGUGUAGCAAGUCGGGAGUGAAAUCUCUGGGCUUAACCCAGAGGCUGCUUCCGAAACUGCUGUGCUUGAGUGUGGGAGAGGCGCGUGGAAUUGCAGGUGUAGCGGUGAAAUGCGUAGAUAUCUGCAGGAACACCCGUGGCGAAAGCGGCGCGCUGGACCACUACUGACGCUGAGGAACGAAAGCGUGGGGAUCAAACAGG